rnacentral:tRNA from 1 species
GGCUCGUUGGUCUAGGGGUAUGACUCUCGCUUCGGGUGCGAGAGGUCCCGGGUUCAAACCCCGGACGAGCCC